rnacentral:lncRNA from 1 species
AUAGAGAGAGAGAGAGAGAGAGAGUUGAGCUAGAAUAUUCUCAAAAGCACCAAGGGGGUGGUGCUUUUGAAUUUUUAACCAUUGGAUGGAGAGAUGUAGGGUUGAGAUGAUGGUGGUAGGUGGUGGUAGGUGAAAUAGUGUUUGAUCCAAGGGGUAUUAGUAAUUAAGGAGUAGAUCCAAGGGCUAGAAACUUAGAAGCACCAAGGGGUUGGUGCUUCUAAAAGUAUUCUAGCUCAAUUCUAUAUAUAUAUAUCUAUAGAGUCCAGCUACUAUGCUAUUAAUAGCACGAAGCACUUGAUGCUACUAAGUUUUCCGCCGUUAGAUCUACCCUUUGGAUCAUUUUCACCCGUUAGAUCAUACUAUUCAACCAACCACCCACUCAACCCUAGGGGCCCAUAUCAUCCUAACCAUACAUCUCUUAAUCCAAUAGCCAAAAACUUGGUAGCACCAAUGACUUGGUGCGAUUAAUAGCAUAGUAGCCUAGUUCUAUAUAUAUAUAUAUAUAGAAUUGAGCUCCUAUGCUUUCAAAAGUACCAAGUUAUUGGUGCUUGUAGAUUUUUAGCCAUUGGAUUAAAAGAUAUGCGGUUAAGAUGAUGUGGGCCCCCUAGGGUUUAGUGGGUGGUUGGUUGAAUAGUAUAAUCUAAUGGUUGAAAAUGAUCCGAGGAGUAGAUCUAACGGUAAAAAACUUACAAGCACCAAGUGUUUGGUACUUUUACAAGCACCAUAGCUGGACU